AUACGAAGGGUCCAAGCGUUAAUCGGAAUCACUGGGCUUAAAGGGUGCGUAGGCGGAUUGGUAAGUGCUCUGUGAAAUCCCACGGUUCAACCGUGGAACUGCUUGGCAUACUACCUGUCUUGAGGUCGGCAGAGGUGGCCGGAACUCUAGGUGUAGCGGUGAAAUGCGUAGAUAUCUAGAGGAACGCCAAAGGAGAAGUCAGGCCACUGGGCCGAUCCUGACGCUGAGGCACGAAAGCGUGGGUAGCGAACGGGAUUAGAUACCCCGGUAGUCCACGCCCUAAACGAUGUGCACUAGAUUGUGGCGGCUCUGACGUCGUCACAGUCGAAGUUAAAACGAUAAGUGCACCGCCUGGGGAGUACGGUCGCAAGGCUAAA
rnacentral:rRNA from 1 species